CCUACGGGAGGCAGCAGUGGGGAAUAUUGGACAAUGGGGGCAACCCUGAUCCAGCCAUGCCGCGUGUGUGAAGAAGGCCCUCGGGUUGUAAAGCACUUUCAGGGAGGAAGAACGCCUGGUGGUUAAUACCCAUCAGGAAAGACAUCACUCACAGAAGAAGCACCGGCUAACUCCGUGCCAGCAGCCGCGGUAAUACGGAGGGUGCGAGCGUUAAUCGGAAUUACUGGGCGUAAAGCGCGCGUAGGUGGCUUGAUAAGCCGGUUGUGAAAGCCCCGGGCUCAACCUGGGAACGGCAUCCGGAACUGUCAAGCUAGAGUGCAGGAGAGGAAGGUAGAAUUCCCGGUGUAGCGGUGAAAUGCGUAGAGAUCGGGAGGAAUACCAGUGGCGAAGGCGGCCUUCUGGACUGACACUGACACUGAGGUGCGAAAGCGUGGGUAGCAAACAGGAUUAGAUACCCCGGUAGUC
rnacentral:rRNA from 1 species